rnacentral:rRNA from 1 species
GACAGAAUUCUUCGGAAGGAAGUUGAUUAAGUUUAGUGGCGGACGGGUGAGUAACGCGUGAGUAACCUGCCUUUGAGGGGGGAAUAACUUCCCGAAAGGGAUGCUAAUACCGCAUGAUGCAUAGAAGUCGCAUGGCUUUUAUGCCAAAGAUUUAUCGCUCAAAGAUGGACUCGCGUCCGAUUAGCCAGUUGGCGGGGUAACGGCCCACCAAAGCGACGAUCGGUAGCCGGACUGAGAGGUUGAACGGCCACAUUGGGACUGAGACACGGCCCAGACUCCUACGGGAGGCAGCAGUGGGGGAUAUUGCGCAAUGGGGGAAACCCUGACGCAGCAACGCCGCGUGAAGGGUGAAGGUUUUCGGAUUGUAAACUUCUUUUAUUUAGGACGAAGAAUGACGGUACUAAAUGAAUAAGCUCCGGCUAACUACGUGCCAGCAGCCGCGGUAAUACGUAGGGAGCAAGCGUUAUCCGGAUUUACUGGGUGUAAAGGGUGCGUAGGCGGCUUGGUAAGUCAGAUGUGAAAUGUAUGGGCUCAACCCAUGCACUGCAUUUGAAACUAUUGAGCUUGAGUGAAGUAGAGGUAGGCGGAAUUCCCUGUGUAGCGGUGAAAUGCGUAGAGAUAGGGAGGAACACCAGUGGCGAAGGCG